UACGUAGGGGGGCAAGCGUUGUCCGGAGUUACUGGGCGUAAAGCGCACGCAGGCGGUCUCUUAAGUUUGGAGUGACAGUUGGUGGCUUAACUGCCAAAGUGCUUCGAAAAACUGAGAGACUUGAGGGCUUCAGAGGGACACGGAAUUCCGGGUGGAGUGGUGAAAUGCGUAGAGAUCCGGAGGAACACCAAAGGCGAAGGCAGUGUCCUGGGGAGUACCUGACGCUCAGGUGCGAAAGCCAGGGGAGCGAACGGG
rnacentral:rRNA from 1 species